GGCUAACGCUGGCGGCGUGUCUUAGCCAUGCAAGUCGAGCGGACUUAUGGGGUAACUUAUAAGUCAGCGGCGGACGGCGGAGUAACACGUAGCUAACCUACCCUCUGGACGGGGAUAACCUACCGAAAGGUGGGCUAAUACCCGAUGUAGUCAUCCUGUAUAGGGGUGAUGAAAGGUGGGCUUCUGUUUACAAGCUCAUGCUGGAGGAGGGGGCUGCGGCCUAUCAGGUAGUUGGUAGGGUAAUAGCCUACCAAGCCGAUGACGGGUAGCCGGCCUGAGAGGGUGACCGGCCCGAGGGGCACUGAGAUACGGGUCCCACUCCUACGGGAGGCAGCAGGCUAGAAAUUUGGGCAAUGGGGGAAACCCUGACCCAGUGACGCCGCGUGCAGGAAGGAGCCCCUUCGGGGUGUAAACUGCUGUCGUGUAGGGAGAAGGGUACUAAGGUGAACAAUCUUAGUACUUGACGGUACUACAGGAGGAAGCCCAGGCUAACCUCGUG
rnacentral:rRNA from 1 species